CUGCACUUGUUCCGCUUUUCAAAGGACCGGUAUCGCCCACCAUGACACAUCGUCUGCUACAACAAGAUGGCGGCUGUCAAAAUGCAUUGGGCGAAGCUAGUGAGCUCUGGAAAAUUGUAGUUUUCCCAGUAAUGGAGAUUAACAGCUGGUGUCACAUAAGGCCAUAGAAUGUUUCCCGGAUCCUCUGCUUGGUGUCGCUGCUCUUGCUCUGCUUUCCAAGGAAUUAAAGGACCGUUAUCGCCCACCAUAAAACAUGGUCUGCUUAAACAAGAUGGCGGCUGACAAAACACAUUGGGCAAGGCUUGAGAGCCUUGAAAUAUUGUAGUUUUCGCAGUAAUAGAGGAACCAUGCCAUAAUGGGAGAUGGACUAGAGAUGAGGAGAAAUUUUUGACAGUUUGUGGAGAGCAGGGGGGUGGAAAAUAUCAAAUACACAGAGUGGAAGGACUGUGCCGAAGACCAGAGAAAUGGGUGUACAGACUGAUGUAACUUUUGGGCCUAUGAUUGAAGUGACCUGGGCAUGUAGCAGUCAUGCACUUUAUACCACUCAUUCGCAUUCCUUAAUUAGAUCUAUGUUAUCAAAUGUAUCAGUCAGUGAACCAGCCUCACCCGCCAUACGCUCACAGACCUGCCAUGUCUCUGACAUACCCUCAACCGAUGCCACUUCUCCGUUGGUGCCUAAACAAAACUGCUUGCAACCACUUACAGUCAGUGAACCAGCCUCACCAGUUGUCUGUUGUUCAAUUAUGCUUGAGCAUAACUAAGCAAAUCAAAAGAGAACCCAAAUCUUAUCAAAGAAAAAGAUUAAAAGGCAGAAAAAAUAAUGUAAAUUGGCAGAAUUUCUUACCCACCAAUCAAGAAAUGUUCCUGGAAGAGUAUCUUUGACUCAUCUGGUCAAACUGGUACAAUGUAUUCAUGUACAACAAAAUGAAUAAAUGCUCAAUUAUCGCAUUAACAGAUUUCUUUGCCAUUUGGCAUGGAUACUUUCACAAGUUCAGGAAAAAGCUGAGAUGGGUUAUCAAUAUGCAAAUGUUUGUUAAUGAGGUUAAUGUUCACUUGUUGUAUAUUUUCACCAUAUAUUUGGGGCCAUUCAAAUUGGAUUGUGUGAUAUUAAUUCUAUGAUCAUGUUGUACUGUUGUUUUGUGCAGUAUCGAAGAAAGAUAUUUCAGUGUUAUAACUAUUUAUUCUUGUAACUAAUAUCAAUCCCAGCUGUAU